rnacentral:rRNA from 1 species
AUUAUUAAGAAAAAUUAUAUUGUUAGUAUAUAAAUUGUAUGAAAACAAAAAAUUAUGGCGGUAUUUUAAGCUUUUCAGAGGAAUUUGCUCUUUAAUGGAUAAAACACCUAAAUCUUACUAAAUUUAGUUAAGCAGUUUGUAUACCACUAUUUAAGUAAUAAUUUGCUAUUAUUACUAAAAUUUAUAUUAAUUAAAAAAAGUUAAGUCAAGGUGCAGCAUAAAUUUUAGUAUGAAGUGAAUUACAUUUCUUUUAAGAAAAAUUUGUUGAAAAUAAAAUUUAGGAUUUGAAAGUAAAAUUUUAAUAGAAGGAAAAUUUGAAUUAAGCUCUAAAAUAUGUAC